rnacentral:rRNA from 1 species
AGAACGAACGCUGGCGGCAUGCCUAACACAUGCAAGUCGAACGAGACCUUCGGGUCUAGUGGCGCACGGGUGCGUAACGCGUGGGAAUCUGCCCUUAGGUACGGAAUAACAGUGAGAAAUUACUGCUAAUACCGUAUGAUGUCUUCGGACCAAAGAUUUAUCGCCUAGGGAUGAGCCCGCGUUGGAUUAGCUAGUUGGUGGGGUAAAGGCCUACCAAGGCGACGAUCCAUAGCUGGUCUGAGAGGAUGAUCAGCCACACUGGGACUGAGACACGGCCCAGACUCCUACGGGAGGCAGCAGUAGGGAAUAUUGGACAAUGGGGGAAACCCUGAUCCAGCCAUGCCGCGUGAGUGAUGAAGGCCUUAGGGUUGUAAAGCUCUUUACCAGGGAAGAUAAUGACGGUACCUGGAGAAUAAGUUCCGGCUAACUUCGUGCCAGCAGCCGC